rnacentral:lncRNA from 1 species
GUUAAGAGUACGAAGUGGCGGAGCGAAACAAGUCCUUCCACAGGCUGCCCCACCCCUGCGGAGGGGUAAGCCGGAUGGUGGAGAACGGGGAUAGAUGGGCCGAUCCCUGAUCCCAUGAUAGAUAUUUUCAGGGGGUGGGACCCGAGACUCGAGCCCUGGUCCUCCAGAGUGGAAGGCUGUAGCGUUUCAUGCGGCCAAUCCACUCGACUAUCGGUAAUCAUUCUCUACUCUGGCUCGUUUUACAUCUCCAAAUUUUUACAAACCGAGUUAUUGUGUGGGGAGACCGCCGCCCCGACUAUGGGGCCAGCUGUUGAAUGAAGAAGGGGAUUCGACACGCGACGGCUGGUGCGUUACCAAUUAUCGAACGUCGAUCACCGAAUUAGGAACUAUGGAUUUACCCGUCGGAAUCCGUAGUUAGAACAUCGGUCGGAUAGUCGACUGGUGAUGGGUAGACUUAUGACGUCCGGAUUCAAUUCCCGGUUCCCACUCAAAAAGUUUCGAGAAAAGACGCGGUUGAUGGAAAUUCCGUCUUUCGCCUAUCCCAUCUGGAGUAGGUGUCGGAAAGCUUAACCACUUGGUAAUCACCGCAGAAAGGGUAAGACCACAAAAAAGAUUAGCGUAGAUAGUCGUCGGCUAAAAAUUUUCUUCGGUAUUUAAUGCAAGAUUAAAAAAUGUUUUUCUGCCUGUUUCAUUAAGCGCUUCGAUUUUAAGCUGAUUGGGAAGACCUAAUUAGCUUGGCGAUGCCAUAUAGUCUAAAAUAGGAAGCAGGAUUAGUCAC